rnacentral:tRNA from 1 species
GGUGGGUUGGCUCAGUGGUUAGAGCGUUGGUCUCGUAACCCAAAGGUCGCGGGAUCGAAUCCCGCUGAGGCUG